GCCGGGGAAGGAGCAACAGUGGUAAAAGAGUCACCACUCUCUGGCGCCAUCUCAUCUCCCACCGAUGCUGCUGCCACCAUGAAUCCUUGCCGGAUGUCAUUAAUGCCCCCGGAUUCUGCACUGGCUUGAACUCAACACCACUGCUGCUGCCAAGGGUCCUCUCUGGGCCCACCUCGCUGAUGCUGCUCAUGCCAUCAGGUCUCAAACUCACACCCGCUGCCGCCUCCAUGAAUUUGCGCUGGACACAGACACCACCAACAACCCAAACACACCUCUACUGCAGCGCUGGGUCCACCUUGUCAAUGCAGAAGCCACCAGGAACCCAAACUCCAAUGCCUCCACCACGAGUCCACACAGGGCUCACUUCACAGCCACCGAUGCCAUCAUGGCUGAUGCCUUUACCAUGACCGAGCUCUUCACAAAAGUUCUUUUUAAGUUCUUUGGUGUUUGCAC